CACGUAGUUAGCCGGGGCUUCUUAGUCAGGUACCGUCAUUUUCUUCCCUGCUGAUAGAGCUUUACAUACCGAAAUACUUCUUCACUCACGCGGCGUCGCUGCAUCAGGGUUUCCCCCCAUUGUGCAAUAUUCCCCCACUGCUGCCUCCCGUAGGAGUUUGGGCCGUGUCUCAGUCCCAAUGUGGCCGGUCACUCUCUCAAGCCGGCUACUGAUCGUUGCCUUGGUAGGCCAUUACCCCACCAACUAGCUAAUCAGACGCGGGCCCAUCUCAUACCCUAUAAAAUAUUUAAAUUGCUCUGACAUGCGCCAGUACAAUCUUAUGCGGUUUUAGCAGCCGUUUCCAACUGUUAUCCCCCUGUAUGAGGCAGGUUACCCACGCGUUACUCACCCGUCCGCCACUAAGUUUAUUCCGUCCGAAAACUUCAUAAACUCCGUUCGACUUGCAUGUGUUAGGCACGCCGCCAGCGUUCAUCCUGAGCCAGGAUCAAACUAC
rnacentral:rRNA from 1 species